GCCGGCUCCUCUUUGAAGGGGCUCCUGAGCUAUUAAGCAUAACUUUGGUCUCGCGGCCACAAUAUACUGCAACACCAAUUGCCCAAGCAGUGUUCUUGAGCUCACAACCCCGAAGAACAAUAUUGGAGGACCCAAGUGACAGCCUUUUCCCAUCCAUAUCCAUGUUAGCGUGAAAUCCAUAAAUGUUUCUAUUGGGUUUCUCACAUUUGAUCAACACCCUGACAUUUUCCUUUUCAGGAGUCUUUGAAAGUGUCUCUU
rnacentral:misc_RNA from 1 species